CAAGUCCUUAUCGGGUGGAUCACUCGGUUCGGUAGUUCGAUGAAAAACGGGGCAAAAACCGUUAUUUGGCGUGAAUUGCAGACAUAUUGAACGCUAAAAUUUUGAACGCAAAUGGCACUAUCAGGUUUAUAUCUGAUAGUAUGUUUGGUUGAGGGUCGAU
rnacentral:rRNA from 1 species